AAGCCAGCCAGUGAAUCUGCUUACCUAAAUGUGUGUAUGCCGAGAUUUAGAUAAAGCUGGCAAGAAUAGUGCCAUGAUUCAAGCCUUAAGGAUAAUCAAAGUCAUUAAGGUCCCUGAGAAUGACUACAACA